CCUACGGGUGGCUGCAGUGGGGAAUAUUGGGCAAUGGGCGCAAGCCUGACCCAGCAACGCCGCGUGAAGGAAGAAGGCUUUCGGGUUGUAAACUUCUUUUGCCGGGGAGCAACCGGCGCCACGUGUGGCGUCACUGAGAGUACCCGGAGAAAAAGCAUCGGCUAACUCCGUGCCAGCAGCCGCGGUAAUACGGAGGAUGCGAGCGUUAUCCGGAUUUAUUGGGUUUAAAGGGUGCGUAGGCGGAUCGUUAAGUCAGUGGUCAAAUUGAGGGGCUCAACCCCUUCCCGCCAUUGAAACUGGCGUUCUUGAGUGGAAGAGAAGUAUGCGGAAUGCGUGGUGUAGCGGUGAAAUGCAUAGAUAUCACGCAGAACCCCGAUUGCGAAGGCAGCAUGCCGGCGUCCGACUGACGCUGAAGCACGAAAGCGUGGGGAUCGAACAGGAUUAGAUACCCCAGUAGUC
rnacentral:rRNA from 1 species